rnacentral:rRNA from 1 species
UACGGAGGGGGCUAGCGUUAUUCGGAAUUACUGGGCGUAAAGCGCACGUAGGCGGACUGGAAAGUCAGAGGUGAAAUCCCAGGGCUCAACCUUGGAACUGCCUUUGAAACUCUCAGUCUUGAGUUCGAGAGAGGUGAGUGGAAUUCCGAGUGUAGAGGUGAAAUUCGUAGAUAUUCGGAGGAACACCAGUGGCGAAGGCGGCUCACUGGCUCGAUACUGACGCUGAGGUGCGAAAGCGUGGGGAGCAAACAGG